CUCAGCCCCCCCCCCGCCAGGAAUAGGGUUAACCGCACUGUCUCCUCGAACUGUCUAUCUGUCUCCUCGAUCCUUAUAAAUUUAUCGUCGUCUCAAUCAUUGUGGUGAAACAAAUGCAGCUGUCGGAGGUAUUCUAUGUCUACCGUAUGUUGGAUAUGGAACGACACCUAGUAUGUACCCUACAGUGCUGAAAUGGCCUACAUUUUGGCCGAAAUUGGGUCUUUCUAUCAAAAUAGCAAAACACAAACACGCCACUAAUAAAAUAAUUAUUCCAAAACCAAGAUCCAGUGGUACCGAACAGUUAACUUUGAUUUUGAAAUCACAAACUUGUUUUCUGACGAUACCCUCCCAGUCCGCAUCCAUCUCCUGCAAUCCACAAAGGCUGUCACAAAACUACUUCGUGCAUUCUUGCAAAGCGUUUUCCUGUGACAGAAAGGUAAGCUGGCGAUCACUGGUUUAUAUUGGUGAAAUGGGUCUUUUUACUCCCACAGCUUGAUGAAGCGAUGUCGAAGACGUUUGCGGACAGAAGGAUCCUGGUGGUGACGAAGAGGCUAUCCGUACCCAAGCUGAAGAAGCUCUACCCUGCCCUCUUUCAGGAAAUGGAGAUCUGGGCGGAGCUUGCCCGAAUCAGGGGCGGUUGAUCGACCAAGGAGAAUGAGCUGGAGAGGGCGCGUGAGAACCUUUCCAAGGUGCUCACAAAGUUCCAAGUCUGUGAAACGAAUGAAGCUGCGCUGGAGCAUCUCCUCAUCGAACUUCGCGAGGAAGACGCUCUUUACGCGGCACCGACGGCCGGAGGUCCAAUGGUUAUAUGGCGUGAUGCCAUCUGGGUCGAGGGAGAGAAGGUAGCUGAUUUUGAGAUACUGAACAAGAUCGACCAGUUCCUCACAUGGGAUGCUGCGUUCUCGGUGUUCGCUCAAAAGCCGACCAAGAAAAGCACGCGGUGCUCCGCAUACCUGGCAACCGUUAUGGUUCUCCAAACAGACGUGCUGAAGCCCCCGAAAGGCCUGGAGCGUAUCACUCAGUAAGCGUCAAGCUCAGUAGAUUCGUGUCGCCUGACUGUCCAUCUGAGGCCCGACUGAGUCGGGUAAGACUUACCUUUUUCCGUCUUGCGGAACUUCUUCACUGUCAGUGGGCCGAGAUAGUCGUGUGUUGAAAGGUCGUCUCAUGUCGACUCUCGCCUCUGGCAGGUCAGCCAUCCUGGGUAGCUGAGGGGUGGCUCUGCGGUUGCGGCAGAACGCACACUUCUGUUGACACACUUCUGUUCACACUUCUGUUGACACGAAAUGACAACAGAUGUGCUGUCAUUUCGGUUUGUGUCGUGUUUUUUUUUUUAAUAAAGUCGUUCGCCAAAAACA